UUAGUAACGGCGAGUGAAGCGGCAAAAGCUCAGAUUUGAAAUCUGGUAUCAUUUUUUGGUGCCCGAGUUGUAAUCUGUAGAGGAGUAUUCGGUUUUGGUCAUGGCUUAAGUUCCUUGGAACAGGACGUCAUGGUGGGUGAGAACCCCGUUUGCGGCCUUUGUCUUCAAAAUCAUGUGAAUCUCCUUCAACGAGUCGAGUUGUUUGGGAAUGCAGCUCUAAAUGGGUGGUAAAUUCCAUCUAAGGCUAAAUAUCUGCAAGAGACCGAUAGCGCACAAGUAGAGUGAUCGAAAGAUGAAAAGAACUCUGAACAGAGAGUUAAAUAGUACGUGAAAUUGUUGAAAGGGAAGCACUUGCUACCAGACGCACUUGCAAUUGAUCAGGCUUGCAUUUUGUAAGCUGCACUCAGUUGUAGGUGGGUCAGCAUCAGUUAUGGCGGUGGGAUAAAGCCUGGAGGAAUGUGGCUCUCUUCGGGGAGUGUUAUAGCCUCUGGUGUAAUACUGCCUGCUAUGACUGAGGAUCGCGCCUUCGGGCGAGGAUGCUGGCAUAAUGGUCGUAAGUGACCCGUCUUGAAACACGGACCAAGGAGUCUAACAUCUAUGCGAGUAUUUGGGCUUUAUAAACCCUUAUGCGAAAUGAAAGUGAAUGGAGGUGGGAACCGCAAGGUGCACCAUCGACCGAUCCUGAUGUCUUCGGAUGGAUUUGAGUAUGAGCAUAGCUGUUGGGACCCGAAAGAUGGUGAACUAUACUUGAAUAGGGUGAAGCCAGAGGAAACUCUGGUGGAGGCUCGCAGCGGUUCUGACGUGCAAAUCGAUCGUCAAAUUUGGGUAUAGGGGCGAAAGACUAAUCGAACCAUCUAGUAGCUGGUUCCGGCCGAAGUUUCCCUCAGGAUAGCAGUAACGAGUUGAAUAGUUUUAUGAGGUAAAGCGAAUGAUUAGAGGCCUUGGGGUUGGAACAACCUUAACCUAUUCUCAAACUUUAAAUAUGUAAGAAGGCCCUGUUGCUUAAUUGAACGGGGUCG
rnacentral:rRNA from 1 species